rnacentral:tRNA from 4 species
GCGCGAGUGGCGAAAUUGGCAGACGCGCUGGAUUUAGGUUCCAGUGUCUUCGGACGUGUGGGUUCAAGUCCCUCCUCGCGCACCA